rnacentral:rRNA from 1 species
GACGAACGCUGGCGGCGUGCUUAACACAUGCAAGUCGAACGGAAAGGCCCUGCUUUUGUGGGGUGCUCGAGUGGCGAACGGGUGAGUAACACGUGAGUAACCUGCCCUUGACUUUGGGAUAACUUCAGGAAACUGGGGCUAAUACCGGAUAGGAGCUCCUGCUGCAUGGUGGGGGUUGGAAAGUUUCGGCGGUUGGGGAUGGACUCGCGGCUUAUCAGCUUGUUGGUGGGGUAGUGGCUUACCAAGGCUUUGACGGGUAGCCGGCCUGAGAGGGUGACCGGCCACAUUGGGACUGAGAUACCGCCCAGACUCCUACGGGAGGCAGCAGUGGGGAAUAUUGCAUAAUGGGCGGAAGCCUGAUGCAGCAACGCCGCGUGCGGGAUGACGGCCUUCGGGUUGUAAACCGCUUUCGCCUGUGACGAAGCGUGAGUGACGGUAAUGGGUAAAGAAGCACCGGCUAACUACGUG